AACGAACGCUGGCGGCAUGCCUAACACAUGCCAGUCGAACGAGACCUUCGGGUCUAGUGGCGCACGGGUGCGUAACGCGUGGGAACCUGCCCUUAGGUUCGGAAUAACUCCCCGAAAGGGGUGCUAUACCGGGAAAUGGUCUCGGACCAAAGAUUUUUCGCCUUUGGAUGGGCCCGCGUUGGAUUAGCUAGUUGGUAGGGUAAAAGCCUACCAAGGCGACGAUCCAUAGCUGGUCUGAGAGGAUGAUCAGCCACACUGGGACUGAGACACGGCCCAGACUCCUACGGGAGGCAGCAGUGGGGAAUAUUGGACAAUGGGCGAAAGCCUGAUCCAGCAAUGCCGCGUGAGUGAUGAAGGCCUUAGGGUUGUAAAGCUCUUUUACCCGGGAUGAUAAUGACAGUACCGGGAGAAUAAGCUCCGGCUAACUCCGUG
rnacentral:rRNA from 1 species